UUGCUUUGGUGACACAUAAGCUAAAUCUGAAAUGAUUCAGAAAAAAUUAGCCUGGCCCCUAUGUAAGGAUGACACACAGAUUCGUGAAUUCUUCCAUAUUCUU